rnacentral:rRNA from 1 species
GGGAUUUGACAUCACAGGGGAGUUUGCAGAGAUGUGAAUGCCUUUCGGGGCCCUGUGACAGGUGCUGCAUGGCUGUCGUCAGCUCGUGUCGUGAGAUGUUGGGUUAAGUCCCGCAACGAGCGCAACCCUUGUCUCUAGUUACCAGCGAGUAAUGUCGGGGACUCUAGAGAGACUGCCGGUGAUAAACUGGAGGAAGGUGGGGAUGACGUCAAGUCCUCAUGGCCCUUACAUCCCGGGCUACACACGUGCUACAAUGGCCGGUACAACGAGUCGCAAUACCGCGAGGUGGAGCUAAUCUCUAAAAACCGGUCUCAGUUCGGAUUGCAGUCUGCAACUCGACUGCAUGAAGU